rnacentral:tmRNA from 1 species
GGGGGUGUCUCGGUUUCGACUGGGAGCUGGAGUGUCUGGUGGCACGUCGGAGAUAAUGGUUGGCUCCGUAAAAAUCCAUUGCAAAAUUAAACGGCAAAAAAAAUAAAGCUGUUGCAACUCUGUACGUCGACAAUGUCGUGAGAAAUCUCGACUUUGGCUGCGUUAUGAGCAAAGCUGCGUAGAUUAACGUGGCACAUCAACUGCGGAAUACUCGCUACCGCAGAUCUGGUGUCGAUUAGCGAGUGAAAUGCGAAGUUAACCGAUAAGCUUCGUGUGGAUCCGAAAUUAUCGGCAAGGCUAAAACGAUUGCGUUUACUCAAGCGCUGUAGCCGAGAUUAAACAGUAAACUAAACGUGUAGAGGCCAUGCGUGAAUGUUCACAGGACGCGGGUUCGACUCCCGCCACCUCCACCC